AUUACAUGGGAAUCUUGAUAAAACACAGAUUCUGAUUCAGUAGGUUUAGGGUGAGACUCAAGAUUCUGUAUUUCCAACAAGCUCCCAGGUAAUGCUGG
rnacentral:pre_miRNA from 1 species